rnacentral:lncRNA from 1 species
ACCACGACGUUUGUAGUGACCGGGAUGAAUGUCAAUCAAAAUGUCUAAAAUACCCAGAUGUUUCUAAUGGUCAUGUCAGUUUACUGAAGAAGUUUAUUCUUCAUCAAUGGUUAAUAUAUCUUGCAAUGAAGGUUUUAGAAUAGAUGGAAAGGACACAGCUAUAUGUUUGGACAGCGGGACUUGGAGCCAUGUUGCUACAUGUGAACCAGUUGAUUGUGGUAAAGUACCUACCACCAGGAUCAUGUGCUCAUAUUAGAAUCUGGACAAGAGACAAAAUUCAACACUUCAUUAAGUCUAACAUGCGACACUGGAUUCCAACUUGCUGAGCAUAGCAACAGUUUUGUUUGGUGUAAUGGAGACGGACAUUGGAGCGGAAAUCCUAAAUGCGAAAAUCUAGUUGAUUUAUUUAUAAAUCCAAGCGUCUUUCUGAUCGGUGAAACAUCCCAACUUACUUGUGAAUUUCGAAAAGCUGAAUGGAGGAAAGUUGUGUUUAGAAGAGCCUAGUUGGAAUAAAGGUUCAGUUACAAUAGCAACAAUAGAAAAUAACAUAGUUUCAUACAAUCGGACUACAUCUAAUGACAAAAUCAAGAUCAAAGACAGUUUUACUCAUGAUUCGGGUAAAGUUACCAUAACAUUUGAAACUGUCCAAUGUUCCGAUGCGUUUGAAAUACCUGGAGAUAUCAACUUCACAUGUGAGGUUCACAUGAAGAUAAUUUGCAUGUCUUUCAUGCCGAAAGAUUUAUUAGAAUACAAGGUAAGCCUGGUGCUCCAAUAUUAACUAUAUCUCCGCACGUUGUCGAAGGAGAAGACACAACAAGAUCUCUGUUCGUAUGUGAAAUGCUUUUUGCGGAACCGAAUGGUAAAGUGAUCAUUGAAAGUGACUAUAGCGGUACAUAUACAACAUUGUUAUCGUCUGUGAAUGGUGAAUACGAAACUGAUGCGGCUUGGAUUGAAGACAUAAAGACCGCUCUGAAAAACUGUUGGUACAGGAUGGUAGUUAGUUUUGGCUUGAAAAGAGUUUCAAUGAAAUGGCAUCGGAAACACAUUAGAUGCAUUGCAAAGCCUUCUAAUUCUAGUUCAUUUGAUCAGAUAGAUAUCCCACCUGACAACGGCGUUGUUAAAGUUCUACCAGAAAGAAUCUGCCAGGGUCAAGAUCUUGUCUUAUACCCUUAUAACUGUGGUUUGUAUGUUGAAUGCGAUAAAGAUGACAGUUAUGAAUUCUGUAUUGGACGUGUUUGCAUGUGGAAACGACCAUUGUUACCAUGUUAACACCGGAGGAUGCAGCCAAUGUUCUCUUGGAAUCGGUUGUUCGGUUACAGACAUAUACUUCAGAGACUGGGGGCUCAAGCGAAAUAGGGUCAGCAUUAACUAUCGUGUGUAUUGUUGAAGAUUUUAAAAACCUUACGGAUAUAAAAAUUACAAGAGGAAAUGGAGAGAUGGUUUCGUCAAUAAGCACAGGUGACAAUAUAAAGGGCAUUAGCACUGUUCCAGAGAUGAGUCACCGUAACAGUACCGGCGGCAUGCUUUCAGUACACAUAAGCUACCUUUUGUGUGAUGAUGAAGCUACAUACCGCUGUUUUCCAGAAGGAGGUGGAAAAUAUUCGGAUGAUGUUAUUGAUCUCAAUAUGAAUUGUUAAUCGUAAAACCUGAACCAUUCUAGUCUACUGUUCAUUCCGUUUGUAAUUUCUCGAAUAUCAUGUUUUAGACUGUUUGCACGAAUUGAUAGCUAAGAGCACCAGUUGACUAAAUAUGUUGUUUUCCUCUUCUCCAUGUAAAAAUAGAAAUAUUUGAUAUUUAAAAAUGACCUUCUAAAAUAUCUGAAGCAAAUUUGACAACACUUGUAUUGACAGUUUAUCAUUGAUUAGGAGAUUUACCAAAUCAUAAUCCAUAUGAAAAGUCUCCAUAGCUAAAAUAUUUAAUAGGGUAUAGUGUAAAGUUAGUCCGCUUUCAACAAUUUGAAGGAGUAUUUGCUGAACUUUCUUUUGUCUUUUGUACAUUCAAUAUGUAAGGCUUGCCAAGAGUCUAAAACUCCUAACUUGAUUAAAAGCUUAUCAAAACCAUACUAAAAUUGACCUGAAAGAAGUAAUUAAAGAUUUUGCAUUGUAAACAAACACAUCAUUGUACCAUCAAUAUUUUCCACUCAUGAAUGCACUCAGUUCAGGUGAUAAUUGUUGAUAUAAUUGUAAAUGAGAGGCCCCAUUGAAUUUUUUUUACAAUUUGUUUUGUACAUUAAUGUGAAUAUAACAUGGCAUAACAUAAGUUACCCGCUUAGGCCAAAAUAAAAAAAAAAUAUAUGCAUGGUUCAGGUAACCAGAGUGAACCUAUUUUUUGACGCCGACCCUUAGACUUAUUAUCGAUUUUAGUGGUUAUGAAUUAGCCUGGGACGAAAAAUAUCGAGUACGAACUGAAACGUGAAACGCUUAGAAUAAAGCGUUUAUCGAUAGAAAAUCCGAUAUUUAGUAAUACACGAAGACAAUACACCAAAACAAUACGCCAUAAGUGUCAAUAUCGCAUUACAUUGGGGCAUAAUCUAAAAUUUCGCCGAGAGCUUCUAGAGUAAUUCUUCCGCCUACUUCUAUGAAAGCAAAUGAAAUGAAAUAUUAGCUGUUCGCUUCGUCUAAAGCUCCGCCCAUUUUCUUGAUGCGUUUUGCGCUUCGUCUAAAGCUCCUCCCAUUUUCUUGAUGCUUAAAACUCAAGAUGAAUUUGCAAGUUAUGUUUUACAUCAAGCGAGAUAAAGUUACAAGGAAUUUUUAAAAAUAAGCCGAUUAGCGAACGCGGAGCACGUACUGAGUUUGUGCAGGACAGCCCUGUCAGAUGGCAGAUACAGAUGGCGCCACGACAACGUUUUGUCAUCCAUAGCAGAGCACUUGGACCAAGCAAGGCGUGUACAGAAAACGUUUUAAUAAAUGCCCUAUCAUUCAUUUCCUUCGUCAGAGCUGGACAAAAGGGUAGAGGAGUCAAGAGUGCUAAUGUGAUCCUAGGCACUGCCAGUGACUGGAAAUUGGUCGCAGACCAUGAAAAAAAUGCAGCUCAGUUCCCACAACAGAUCAUUGUAACCAACCUUAGACCAGACGGGGUACUAUGAUCAGCUCCAAUAAAGCAAUUCGUCAUGGUGGAACGGACAAUACCAUGGGAAGAAGGGAUUGAAGAGAGCUUUGAAAGAAAGCUCACAAAGUAUCAGGCCCUCACAGAAAGCUGUAUUAAGAGAGGUUUGGUCUUACAUUGUUCACAGCACUAAACAAAACACCUUAUAGUUUGUUUAACGUAAUGGACCUGUAACGAAAAUCGUAAAAUUACAUAUUCUCCAUAUGAGCCGCGCCAUGAGAAAGCCAACAUAGUGGCUUUGCGACCAGUACGGAUCCAGGUAUAGU